rnacentral:rRNA from 1 species
AUUGAACGCUGGCGGCAUGCUUUACACAUGCAAGUCGAACGGUAACAGCACUUCGGUGGCUGACGAGUGGCGAACGGGUGAGUAAUACAUCGGAACGUGCCUAGUAGUGGGGGAUAACUACUCGAAAGAGUAGCUAAUACCGCAUGAGAUCUAAGGAUGAAAGCAGGGGACCUUCGGGCCUUGCGCUACUAGAGCGGCUGAUGGCAGAUUAGGUAGUUGGUGGGAUAAAAGCUUACCAAGCCGACGAUCUGUAGCUGGUCUGAGAGGACGACCAGCCACACUGGGACUGAGACACGGCCCAGACUCCUACGGGAGGCAGCAGUGGGGAAUUUUGGACAAAGGGCGCAAGCCUGAUCCAGCAAUGCCGCGUGCAGGAUGAAGGCCUUCGGGUUGUAAACUGCUUUUGUACGGAACGAAAAGCCCUCUUCUAAUACAGGAGGGUCAUGAAGGUACCGUAAGAAUAAGCACCGGCUAACUACGUG